rnacentral:sRNA from 1 species
AAAUAUAAAUAUAUUUUUUUGCAAAAAUAAACUGAAUUAUUCUCUGGAGUUUUUUUAGAUUCCGGGAUUUGUUUGGUUUUUACCAAGCUCUUCUAUCAGUUUUUCAAGUAGUGUAAAAAAAGAAAAUCCUCUAGAAGACUUCUUUUUAACAAACUGCAUUUUAACUUUUUUUAAAGGGUAAAAGUUUACACAAAAACCGAUGGCCUGGUUGCUGUUCAUCCUAAAUCUGUUAAUGUGGAGCAAACAGACUUUCACUACAACUGGCUUAUCUAUCACCUAAAGAUGAGAACAAGCAGUAUAUACUUGUAUGACUGCACAGAGGUUUCCCCAUACUGUCUCUUGUUUUUUGGAGGUGACAUUUCCAUCCAGAAGGAUAACGAUCAGGAAACUAUUGCUGUAGAUGAGUGGAUUGUAUUUCAGUCUCCAGCAAGAAUUGCCCAUCUUGUUAAGGUGACUGACUUUAUGUGAUUAUCUUAAAUCUACAUGUAAGUCAGCAUGUGGUCAUGUGGUUUUGUUCUAACUGUUAAAUAGAUUAACAUUUCUUGCUCUAUUUCAGCAGAGCAAAUAAUUUUGAAAAAAUGAUUCCUGGUUUUUCUGAAUUGUGUUUUGAGGUGGUAACAGACCAGCCAUUCUAAAUGGCUCAG